rnacentral:rRNA from 1 species
UCAAGCGAAUAUAGGUCUAUGGCGGAUGCCUGUUAUGGAGACGCGAGACGAAGAAGGUCGUGAUAAGCUGCGAAAAGCCUUGUGGAGGAGCACAUAUCCGGAGAUACAGGGAUAACCGAAUGGGGUAACCCGCAUACAGCGAUGUAUGCACUGCGACGGCUGAAUAAAAUAGGUCGGCAGGGAGAAACUGUGUGAAGUGAACCAUCUAAGUAACACGGGAAAAGAAAUCAAAAGAGAUUCCGUAAGUAGCGGCGAGCGAAAGCGGAGGAGCCCAAACCGCUUAAAGCGGGGUUGUAGGGCCGCAUGGGGAUGACCCGCAGAGUUAGGGAUAAAACUUCUUUAUAGCGGAAAGAUUUGGGAAAGUCUGACAAAGAGCGUGAAAUCCGCGUACGCGAAAUGAAGGAGACUCUGUGAUGCGGUACCUGAGUACGGCGGGGCACGAGGAACCCUGUUGGAAUCCGGGUCGACCACGAUCCAAGGCUAAAUACUCAGAGCGUCUACCGAUAGUGCACAAGUACCGUGAGGGAAAGGUGAAAAGAACCCCGUUGAGGGGAGUGAAAUAGAACCUGAAACCAUAGACUGACAAGAUGUCACAGCCUGAAAGGGUAGUGGCGUGUCUUUUGUAGAAUAAACCUGCGAGUUGCGGUAUGCAGCGAGGCUAAGAAAUGGUAGUUUCGGAGCCGGAGGGAAACCGAGUCUGAAAAGGGCGAAGAGUUGCAUGCAGCAGACCCGAAGCCAAGGUGAUCUAAUCAUGGGCAGGCUGAAGGCAGGGUGAAACCUGCUGGAGGGCCGAACAGUAAUCUGUUAAAAAAGGUAGUGAUGACCUGUGAUUAGGAGUGAAAGGCUAAACAAACCUGGAGAUAGCUGGCUCUCCCCGAAAUGCCUUUAGGGACAGCCUCAUACAAAGCUUUAGGAGGUAAAGCACUGGCUGGUCUAGGGGGUGUCAAAGCCUACCGAAACCAAUCAAACUCUGAAUGCCUAAAGCCAACGUAUGGGAGUGAGACUGUGUGCGCCAAGGUUCAUAGUCGAGAGGGAAACAGCCCGGACCGGCAUCUAAGGUCCCUAAAUAAUGCUAAGUGUAAAAUGAAGUGCGGAUGCACAGACAGCCAGGAGGUUGGCUUAGAAGCAGCCAUUCCUUAAAAGAGUGCGUAACAGCUCACUGGUCGAGCAUCCGUGCGCAGACAAUGUAACGGGGCUUAAGCAUUAUACCGAAGAUCCGGAAUCAUAUCGUAAGGUAUGAUUGGUAGGGGAGCAUUCCAUUAACUGAAGAAGAAGUACCUGUGAGGGGCUUUGGAGGAGAUGGAAGAGAGAAUGCAGGCAUAAGUAACGAAAAGACGGGUGAGAUUCCCGUCCGCCGAAAACCUAAGGUUUCCAGGGUAAAGGCAAUCUGCCCUGGGUAAGUCGGCCCCUAAGGCCAGGGAGAAAUCCGUAGCCGAUGGGAAUCCGGUUCAUAAUCCGGAACCUGGUUUAUUUUGAAGCCGUGACGCAUGAGGUGAAAUCCGGCCGGAGAACGGUAGUUCCGGUCUAAGCCGUAAGUUGUUGAAGAAGGGGUUAAAUGACUUUCUGAGACGAGCGGUGAAAGCGAGGGGAGAGAAAGUCGAACUGAAGCGGACGUAAUCAAGGUGACGAGAAAGAGCGGCUAAGUGUGGUAAAUCAGACCGUACCGUAAACGGACACACGUAGGUGGGAUGAGAAAUCUAAGGCGCACGAGCGACCUCGCGUUAAGGAACUCGGCAAAAUGCACACGUAACUUCGGAAGAAGUGUGGCUCAUGUUUGAUAAGGAUAAUGAGCGGCAGAAAGCAGGCCCAGGCGACUGUUUAUCAAAAACACAGCCAUCUGCGAACCAGCAAUGGGACGUAUAGGUGGUGACACCUGCCCGGUGCCGGAAGGUUAAGAGGAGCGGUGAGCAGUAAUGCGAAGCUGUCAAUUGAAGCCCCGGUAAACGGCGGCCGUAACUAUAACGGUCCUAAGGUAGCGAAAUUCCUUGUCGGGU